UAAGAACUGAAUGUGCAGUUCGAUUCUUGAAAAUCAAACGGGAGCCCGCAUUUUUAAAUGGCGUACAUGCCUCUUUUCAUUCGGUAAAGAGGACUUACAAGAUUUAAAAGAGGGCACCCACCUGCUGAGAGCGGGUUCAAAACAAAGGAAAGCUGCAACGGCACUAUUGGGACUUUA
rnacentral:other from 1 species